UGCACCUCAUCAUCACCAUCCAUGCAUUCACCAGAAUUACUGCCAUUUCCUUUAUCCUUUCCCAAUAAUGGGAGCAAUGAAAUCCAAAGUAACGGGUAGUCGUCCAUCGUCGUCGGUGUUGUUGAUAUUAGCUGCAGCAGCACUACUGAUGGUUGCAUUUCUGGUUACCAUGACCAAUUUCAGGAGAUCUUACUAUUGUUUGACCAUUUCUAUUAGGUCUUUCAUCUGAUCUCCAACACUAGCCAUCUCUGCUUGUAGUGUUUGC
rnacentral:lncRNA from 1 species